rnacentral:rRNA from 1 species
GACGAACGCUGGCGGCGUGCCUAAUACAUGCAAGUCGAGCGAUGAAGAUUGGUGCUCGCCCCAAUUUGGAGAGCAGCGAACGGGUGAGUAACGCGUGGGUAAUCUGCCUUGGAGCGGGGGACAACAUUUGGAAACGAAUGCUAAUACCGCAUAACAACUUUAAACAUAAGUUUUAAGUUUGAAAGAUGCAAUUGCAUCACUUAAAGAUGAUCCCGAGUUGUAUUAGCUAGUUGGGGAGGUAAAGGCCCACCAAUGCGAUGAUACAUAGCCUGCCCGAGAAGGUGGUUGGGCCCCAUGGGAACGGGACAACGCCCCAGCCUCCUCCGGAAGCCACAAGAGGGAAACUUUGGACAUUGGCGGAAGUCUGACCGAGGCACGCCGCGUGAGUGAAGGAAGGUUUCGGAUCGUAAAACUACGUUGGUAGGGAAGAACGUUGGUGAGGGUGGAAAGCUCAUCAAGUGACGGUAACUACCCAGAAAGAGACGGCUAACUACGUG